rnacentral:tRNA from 1 species
GGGGAAAUAGCUCAACUGGUAGAGCACAGGACUUGCAUGCCUGAGGCUCUCCCUU